UGAGGAAUAUUGGGCAAUGGACGCAAGUCUGACCCAGCCAUGCCGCGUGCAGGAUGACGGCCCUAUGGGUUGUAAACUGCUUUUAUAUGGAAAGAAACCCCCGAACGUGUUCGGGGCUGACGGUACCAUAUGAAUAAGCAUCGGCUAACUCCGUGCCAGCAGCCGCGGUAAUACGGAGGAUGCAAGCGUUAUCCGGAUUUAUUGGGUUUAAAGGGUCCGUAGGCGGGUUUUUAAGUCAGUGGUGAAAGCCUACAGCUUAACUGUAGAAAUGCCAUUGAUACUGGAAGCCUUGAGUAUUGUUGAAGUAGGCGGAAUACGUCAUGUAGCGGUGAAAUGCAUAGAUAUGACGUAGAACACCGAUUGCGAAGGCAGCUUACUAAGCAAUAACUGACGCUGAGGG
rnacentral:rRNA from 1 species